rnacentral:rRNA from 1 species
GACGAACGCUGGCGGCGUGCUUAACACAUGCAAGUCGAACGGAAAGGCCCUGCUUUUGUGGGGUGCUCGAGUGGCGAACGGGUGAGUAACACGUGAGUAACCUGCCCUUGACUUUGGGAUAACUUCAGGAAACUGGGGCUAAUACCGGAUAGGAGCUCCUGCUGCAUGGUGGGGGUUGGAAAGUUUCGGCGGUUGGGGAUGGACUCGCGGCUUAUCAGCUUGUUGGUGGGGUAGUGGCUUACCAAGGCUUUGACGGGUAGCCGGCCUGAGAGGGUGACCGGCCACAUUGGGACUGAGAUACGGCCCAGGCUCCUACGGGAGGGAGCAGUGGGGAAUAUUGCACAAUGGGCGGAAGCCUGAUGGAGCAACGCCGCGUGGGGGAUGACGGCCUUGGGGUUGUAAACCGCUUUCGCCUGGGACGAAGCGUGGGUGAGGGUAAUGGGUAAAGAAGCACCGGCUAACUACGU